CCUUAGGGGAAUUUUCCGCAAUGGGCGAAAGCCUGACGGAGCAAGACCGCGUGAGGGAGGAAGGCUCUUGGGUUGUAAACCUCUUUUCUCAGGGAAGAAGCUCUGACGGUACCUGAGGAAUCAGCCUCGGCUAACUCCGUGCCAGCAGCCGCGGUAAUACGGAGGAGGCAAGCGUUAUCCGGAAUUAUUGGGCGUAAAGCGUCCGCAGGUGGCGAUUCAAGUCUGCUGUCAAAGACAGUAGCUCAACUACUGCAAGGCAGUGGAAACUGAAUAGCUAGAGUGCGGUAGGGGCAGAGGGAAUUCCCGGUGUAGCGGUGAAAUGCGUAGAGAUCGGGAAGAACACCGGUGGCGAAAGCGCUCUGCUGGGCCGCAACUGACACUGAGGGACGAAAGCUAGGGGAGCGAAAGGGAUUAGAUACCCCUGUAGUC
rnacentral:rRNA from 1 species